rnacentral:rRNA from 1 species
AGUGAACGCUGGCGGUAGGCCUAACACAUGCAAGUCGAACGGCAGCACAGUAAGAGCUUGCUCUUACGGGUGGCGAGUGGCGGACGGGUGAGGAAUACAUCGGAAUCUACUUUUUCGUGGGGGAUAACGUAGGGAAACUUACGCUAAUACCGCAUACGACCUACGGGUGAAAGCAGGGGAUCUUCGGACCUUGCGCGAUUGAAUGAGCCGAUGUCGGAUUAGCUAGUUGGCGGGGUAAAGGCCCACCAAGGCGACGAUCCGUAGCUGGUCUGAGAGGAUGAUCAGCCACACGGGAACAGAGACACGGUACGGGCUCCUACGGGAGGCAGCAGUGGGGAAUAUUGGAAAAUGGGCGCAAGCCUGAUCCAGCCAUACGGCGUGGGUGAAGAAGGCCUUCGGGUUGUAAAGCCCUUUUGUUGGGAAAGAAAAGCAGCAGGUUAAUACCCCGCUGUUCUGACGGUACCCAAAGAAUAAGCACCGGCUAACUUCGUG